rnacentral:rRNA from 1 species
CCUACGGGAGGCAGCAGUGAGGAAUAUUGGUCAAUGGGCGGGAGCCUGAACCAGCCAAGCCGCGUGAGGGAAGAAGGUACAGCGUAUCGUAAACCUCUUUUGUCAGGGAACAAAGUCGGGGACUAGUCCCCUGAUGAGGGUACCUGAUGAAUAAGCAUCGGCUAACUCCGUGCCAGCAGCCGCGGUAAUACGGAGGAUGCGAGCGUUAUCCGGAUUUAUUGGGUUUAAAGGGUGCGCAGGCGGCCUGUUAAGUCAGCGGUAAAAGCCCGGGGCUCAACCCCGGCGAGCCGUUGAAACUGGCGGGCUGGAGUAGGAGAGAGGUACGCGGAAUGCGCGGUGUAGCGGUGAAAUGCUUAGAUAUCGCGCAGAACCCCGAUUGCGAAGGCAGCGUACCGGGUCCAGACUGACGCUGAGGCACGAAAGCGUGGGUAUCGAACAGGAUUAGAUACCCCUGUAGUC